GAUCGAUUCUUAUAAAAGAUAAUUCUUCUGAAUCAAUUUUUUCGAAUCGCAACUCCUUUCUUUGAAAUAGAGAGUUCAAGAGAGUUCUCUUCUGUAAUCGUAUUAAAAAGAAUAAAAAUUUACAAAAACCUUGCAAAAAAUUUCAAAUUUCAUUAAAAAUCACUUAAAACCACCAUCCACUUAAGAGUGACGAAAAUCAGAAAUCAAAAUUUCUAAAUUUCAUAUAAAACCAAUUGUGAUAAUUAUUUUCCAAAGACUAUACUGCUUUCUAUGAAUACACAUUAGCUGUACAAUUGUCUUUGGACCAGAUUAAUUCGGAAGAAUCAUCCAUUACGAGAAUCAAAGCGAUAAAUGCGAGCAUUUCUGGAUUAUCUGGCGGACGGAUACGUUUGUCACAGGAAAUUUCAUGGAAAAUUGACCAUAACGAUCAAAUUGAUUAACGAUUCGCAGGUUACGAGGCUUCGAAAUAGGUGAAUUAGUAUUGGACACGGAGUGCAGUAACAAUAAGGAACCAGUCGCAUUCCCAAUGGAGAGAUUAGACCCGGUGUCGCGUUUAUUGUCACGAAGUGUCGUUUCGAAUGCAUCGUAACUACACUUGGCGCGAUGCUGCGAUCGAUAAUACAUGGUUUUCCCUCUGUAUCGUCGAAACCUACUGAAUUUUCUAUCGGAUCUAUUUCGAGAAAGGAUUUAUUGAUUUAUCUUCUUAAUUGUCAUGAAAGAUUCAAAAUUAAAUUUUAAUCGGUUAUUAAAUUCGAAGAAUCGAGUUUUUCUGUAGAUAUUUUCAAUAUAUGAUAAAAUUGGCGAGGAAUACAAAUUUACACAAAAAAUCGUGAAAAAUCAAAAAAUGGUUAGGACCAAAUAUUCCGAAUUCUCGACGAUGUAAGAUUUAUAUUCUCAAUGAUCGAGUGAAACUUUUUACGCGUUAAAUUCAUUGUUCAGAAAUAAAAUAGCGAAAGAUUUUGGGGAUAAAAAUGUACAAUAAAUAUUUUCUUUUCGAACGUGUCCAAGGAAUACGAAAGUGGAAACGGCUAUACCUCGACCGCAAUACGUGUUGGGCACGAUGUCACCGAAACCGACGCUCAGAAACGUGAUAGCAAUGAGCCACAUAGCAUUAAGGAGAUUCGCAUGCUCCUCGUCGUGAAACCUGCCGCCGUACAACGAAAACAGGAUAAAAUAUUAGUUGAUAUCCAACAGACUAUUAUCGAGAUAUAGGUAUUUCUUACCUCUCGCACUGGCGUAACGUCCACGAGGCGAUGAUCCAUAACGAGACCAUGAAGACUAGCAACACGGUGCCCGGGCAGAUGGUCAUCAGUGUCUUAAGGACGAAUCUGGUGUUGAAGUUAAU